rnacentral:rRNA from 1 species
UACGGGGGGGGCAAGCGUUGUUCGGAAUUACUGGGCGUAAAGGGCUCGUAGGCGGCCAACUAAGUCAGACGUGAAAUCCCUCGGCUUAACCGGGGAACUGCAUCUGAUACUGGAUGGCUUGAGUUCGGGAGAGGGAUGCGGAAUUCCAGGUGUAGCGGUGAAAUGCGUAGAUAUCUGGAGGAACACCGGUGGCGAAGGCGGCGAUCCUGGACCGACACUGGACGCUGAGGAGCGAAAGCCAGGGGAGCAAACGGGG